rnacentral:tRNA from 1 species
GCCUGUGUGGCUCAGUCGGUUAAGCAUCUGACUUCAGCUCAGGUCAUGAUCUCACGGUUCGUGGGUUCCAGCCCCGCGUCAGGCC